rnacentral:rRNA from 1 species
UGCGGAUUAUUCGAUGCAACGCGAAGAACCUUACCAAGGCUGGACAUGCACAGGACGCCGGCAGAGAUGUCGGUUCCCUUAUGGCCUGUGUGCAGGUGGUGCAUGGCUGUCGUCAGCUCGUGUCGUGAGAUGUUGGGUUAAGUCCCGCAACGAGCGCAACCCUUGUCUCAUGUUGCCAGCACGUUAUGGUGGGGACUCGUGAGAGACUGCCGGGGUCAACUCGGAGGAA